AUUGAACGCUGGCGGCAGGCUUAACACAUGCAAGUCGAGCGGAGAUGAGGUGCUUGCACCUUAUCUUAGCGGCGGACGGGUGAGUAAUGCUUAGGAAUCUGCCUAUUAGUGGGGGACACCAUUCCGAAAGGAAUGCUAAUACCGCAUACGUCCUACGGGAGAAAGCAGGGGAUCUUCGGACCGUGCGCUAAUAGAUGAGCCUCAGUCGGAUUAGCUAGUUGGUGGGGUAAAGGCGUACCAAGGCGACGAUCUGUAGCGGGUCUGUGAGGAUGAUCCGCCACACUGGGACUGAGACACGGCCCAGACUCCUACGGGAGGCAGCAGUGGGGAAUAUUGGACAAUGGGGGAAACCCUGAUCCAGCCAUGCCGCGUGUGUGAAGAAGGCCUUAUGGUUGUAAAGCACUUUAAGCGAGGAGGAGGCUACUGAGACUAAUACUCUUGGAUAGUGGACGUUACUCGCAGAAUAAGCACCGGCUAACUCUGUGCCAGCAGCCGCCGUAA
rnacentral:rRNA from 1 species